rnacentral:rRNA from 1 species
AGAGUUGAUCCUGGCUAGAACGAACGCUGGUGGCGCGUCUUAUACAUGCAAGUCGAGCGAGGCAGCAAUGCCGAGCGGCGAACGGGUGAGUAACGCGUAAGCAAUCUGCCCCAUAUCAGGAAAUACCCGUGCCAACGCGCGGUUAAUGUCCAGGAGAGUGGCCCUCUGCAUGGAGGGUUGACUAGAGAUUUAUCGGUAUGGGAUGAGCUUGCGUCCGAUUAGCUAGUUGGCGGGGCAACGGCCCACCAAGGCGACGAUCGGUAGCCGGCCUGAGAGGGUGAUCGGCCACAUUGGGACUGAGAUACGGCCCAGACUCCUACGGGAGGCAGCAGUAGGGAAUAUUGCACAAUGGGGGAAACCCUGAUGCAGCAACGCCACGUGUGGGAAGAAGCAUUUCGGUGUGUAAACCACUGUCAUGAGGGAAUAAGGCCCGCCUUCGGACGGGAUUGAAUGUACCUUGAGAGGAAGCACCGGCAAACUUCGUGCCAGCAGCCGC